CACGUAGGGCGCGAGCGUUGUCCGGAAUUAUUGGGCGUAAAGGGCUCGUAGGCGGCCAACUAAGUCAGACGUGAAAUCCCUCGGCUUAACCGGGGAACUGCGUCUGAUACUGGAUGGCUUGAGAUUGGGAGAGGAAUGCGGAAUUCCAGGUGUAGCGGUGAAAUGCGUAGAUAUCUGGAGGAACACCGGUGGCGAAGGCGGCAUUCUGGACCAUAACUGACACUGAGAGACGAAAGCCAGGGGAGCAAACGGG
rnacentral:rRNA from 1 species